UUGCCCACUCAGGACUGCCGUGCCCUGCAGUGACUAACACGGGGGGCCACAGGGAAUCCUCACUAAAACACUGGGUGGAGCUGCACCCUCCACUCUGUAUCCUGUCGUGAGGUACAUUU